rnacentral:rRNA from 1 species
UACGUAGGGGGCAAGCGUUAUCCGGAUUUACUGGGUGUAAAGGGAGCGUAGAUGGUUAGACAAGUCUGAAGUGAAAACCCGCGGCUCAACCGUGCGGAUUGCUUUGGAAACUGUGUAACUAGAGUACUGGAGAGGUAAGCGGAAUUCCUAGUGUAGUAGUGAAAUGCGUAGAUAUUAGGAAGAACAUCAGUGGCGAAGGCGGCUUACUGGACAGCAACUGACAUUGAGGCUCGAAGGCGUGGGGA